AUGGAUUUUGGUAUAUGCAGAGAUGGGGUGCUGGAACUAAUUCUGUAUACUGAGGGACGACGACUGUAUAUGUUUUUACAAUUACGCUGUAGGAUACAUUCUGUUGCAUAGCCUUGAAAAUAAUAAUUUUUAACUGAGUGGAAUAAUAAUAAUAAUAUUGCUAAAAGUAGCAGCUGGCCAGGUGUGGUGGCUCACACUGGUCAUCGCAACACUUUGGGAGGCUGAGGCAGGAGGAUGGCUUGAGGCCAAGAGUUUGCGAUAGGCCUUGGAAACGCAGGGGGAGUCACCAUCCCUACAGAAAAACACAUGAAUUAGCCUAGUGUGGUGGCAUGUUCCUGUAGACCCAGCUACUUGGGAGGCUGAGGUGGGAGGAUCACUUGAGCCCAGGGAGGCUGAGACUGCAGUGAGUCAUGAUCAGGCCUCUGCACUCCAGCCUGGGUGACAGAGUGAGACCCUGUCUCAAAACAACAAAAAAGUAGCCACUAACAUCAACUGAACUUUUAUACCAGGUGCCUAUUGAUACCAUAGUUUAAUUUCUUAGAACUGUUUCUUAUUUCACUUAGCAACUCUGUCUUCAGUUACUCCCAGAUUUUUACUGUGUGUGUCCAGAUGACCUUUUGUUUAGAUUGAAUUGUCUCCCCAGAAGUAAGAUUACUGUGAGUCAUGGUGAAUGGACAUUCUCAUUACCCUUGAUGUAAGUUGACAGGGUUUUGAGUGCCUCCCAGCUAUAAUCUUAGCACUUUGGGAGGCCAAGAGAGGAGGAUUGCUUGAGGCCAAGAGUUGGAGGAGGCAGUAUGGCAGUAUGGUGAGACCCUGUCUCCACUAUUUUAAAAAAUUGACAGGCUUUACCCGGGAAGGCUUAUACACAAUUUAAACACCCCUCAUAGUAUAAGAAAGUGCCCAUUUCACUGCACCUUUGCCAGCACAGGGUAUUAUAAUUUAGUAAGUCAUUUUUUGUUUGAUUAUUUUAAAUAGAUAAAAGACCUCAUGUUACUUUACUUGUCACAUUUCAACAUCUUUCCUUAGCUUAUUAGCUCUAUCUCUUUUCUGUCUGUAAAUGGUUGUUGUUGUUGUUUUGUUCUUUGAGACAGGGUCUUGCUCUGUCACCAGGCUGGACUGUAGCGGCAUAAUCAUGCCUCGCUGCAGCCUUGACCUCCCAGGCUCAAACUUCAGCAUUCCGAGUAGCUGGGACUACAAGUGUGCACCACCACUCCCAGCUAACUUUUUUCUUUUUUUUUGGAUAGAGACAGGGUCUCGCUGUGUUGUCCAGACCGGUCUCUAGCUCCUGGCCUUAAGCAAUCUUCCUGCAUUAGCUUCUCAAAUGGCUGGAAUUUCAGGCAUGAGCCACCAUGCCUGGCCUGGGCUAGUCCCAUAUUCUCUAGAGUUCUCUUUACUUUGUGCUAGCCAAUCUCUCAUUGUGCUGUUCACCUGUUAUAAUGAAUAAUUCUCUGUAUUAAAUUUUACCACUUUAAACUUUUGAGUGGUUUAUGCUUCCUGAUUGGACUCUGACUAAUAUGUUAGGAAGGGUCCCAGGAGGUAAACCCACACAGAUGGGAUUUGGGCAUAGGUUUGGUUUCCCAGGGGGCAGUGCUGAGCUCUUUGCCAGUGGGAAAUGGGAUGCUGGUGAUUUCCAGUAGGUGACCUCACAGUGACUCAAGCUACCACUUACUGUUGAUUGUGACAAAAUGCCAGCUGAGGCACAUGCCUUGGGAGCUAAGUGGUUUCUGCCCUUGACCACUGUGAAGACUGUUUUGGGAAGGGUCGCUUUGGAUGCACUUGAGCAGGGGUCCCCAACCCCUGAGCCAUGGAGUCGUAAGGAGCCACACAGCAGGAGGUGGGACCAUCCAGUUUCAGGAAAACAAGCUUAACACGCCCACUGAUUUGACAUUAUGGGUCUCCCUCUGUUGUCCAAGGCUGGAGUGUAGUAAUGCUAUUGCAGCUGACUGCAGCCUCAACCUUCCAGGCUGAAGCGAUCCUCCUACCUCAACCUCCCACGUGGCUGAGACUACAGGUGCUUGCCACUAUGCCCAACUAAUAUUUGGAAUUUUCAUAUACGUGGAUUCCAGAGGGGUGACAGCGAACCGUGAGUGGGACCAUCCAGUUUCAGGAAAACAAGCUUAACACGCCCACUGAUUUGACAUUAUGCUCCUACCUCCCGGCAGCCUCUCCAGGCCCAGAACUUUCUCCAGUCAGUCUCUACAGACCAAGCUCAUGACUCACAAUGGCCUAUUUAGGCCCAUACCCUACGUCACGGCAGUCUCCUCAGAUGAGGCUACUGCCUGACAACAGCCUCCACAGGCACAGCUCCAUCGUUACAAUGGCCUCUUUAGACCCAGCUCCUGCCUCCCAGCCUUCUCUCCAGGCCCUGAACUUUCUCCGGUCUCCCUCUGUUGUCCAAGGCUGGAGUGUAGCAGCGCUAUCGCAGCUGACUGCAGCCUCAACCUUCCAGGCUGAAGCGAUCCUCCUACCUCAACCUCCCACGUGGCUGAGACUACAGGUGCUUGCCACUAUGCCCAACUAAUAUUUGGAAUUUUCGUAUACGUGGAUUCCAGAGGGGUGACAGCGAAACGUGGGACCAUCCAGUUUCAGGAAAACAAGCUUAACACGCCCACUGAUUCGACAUUAUGGGUCUCCCUCUGUUGUCCAAGGCUGGAGUGUAGUAAUGCUAUUGCAGCUGACUGCAGCCUCAACCUUCCAGGCUGAAGCGAUCCUCCUACCUCAACCUCCCACGUGGCUGAGACUACAGGUGCUUGCCACUAUGCCCAACUAAUAUUUGGAAUUUUCAUAUACGUGGAUUCCAGAGGGGUGACAGCGAACCGUGAGUGGGACCAUCCAGUUUCAGGAAAACAAGCUUAACACGCCCACUGAUUUGACAUUAUGCUCCUACCUCCCGGCAGCCUCUCCAGGCCCAGAACUUUCUCCAGUCAGUCUCUACAGACCAAGCUCAUGACUCACAAUGGCCUAUUUAGGCCCAUACCCUACGUCACGGCAGUCUCCUCAGAUGAGGCUACUGCCUGACAACAGCCUCCACAGGCACAGCUCCAUCGUUACAAUGGCCUCUUUAGACCCAGCUCCUGCCUCCCAGCCUUCUCUCCAGGCCCUGAACUUUCUCCGGUCUCCCUCUGUUGUCCAAGGCUGGAGUGUAGCAGCGCUAUCGCAGCUGACUGCAGCCUCAACCUUCCAGGCUGAAGCGAUCCUCCUACCUCAACCUCCCACGUGGCUGAGACUACAGGUGCUUGCCACUAUGCCCAACUAAUAUUUGGAAUUUUCGUAUACGUGGAUUCCAGAGGGGUGACAGCGAAACGUGGGACCAUCCAGUUUCAGGAAAACAAGCUUAACACGCCCACUGAUUCGACAUUAUGCUCCUACCUCCCGGCAGCCUCUCCAGGCCCAGAACUUUCUCCAGUCAGUCUCUACAGACCAAGCUCAUGACUCACAAUGGCCUAUUUAGGCCCAUACCCUACGUCACGGCAGUCUCCGCAGAUGAGGCUACUGCCUCACAACAGCCUCCACAGGCACAGCUCCAUCGGAUAUUGGAUAUAUCCAAUAUCCACAGCCCACAGCUUCCUCAAGCCAAGCUCCCCAGGCCCAGGUCAGGCCUCACGGUGGCCUCUCCAGGAUGAGCUCCUGCCCUCCGAUGGCACCUGCAGGCCCCAAAUGGUCUCCGGUCGGUGGGCUCCUCCACGCCAAGCUUGGGCCUCCCGGCGACCUCUGCAGGCCCAAGUUGUCCUGAAGUUGGCAUCUCCCGGCCGUGCCUCCCAGCAAGUAAGCAAGCUCUUUUGGCUCAACUCCUGCCCAGCUCCCAACCGCCUUUGUGGGCCCCGAACUUUCUCCAGCCAAGUUCUUUGGGCCUAAUUCCUGCCGCCCGGUGGCCUGUACGGGCCCAGCAAUGGUUGGAGAACAGCCUAUGCAGGUCCCCGCUCUUGCCUCCCAGGGGCCUCUCCAGGCCCAGCUCUUGACCCCACGGCAGCCUCUCAGGGCCAAGUCCCUGCCUGCCUCCCAGCAGCCCGCGUGCGGCCCAGCUCCUCCCUCACGGUGGCCUGUUGAUGCCCAUGCCUCUGGCACCCUGCCCAGAGGCAUGAGCCCCUGCCUCACACCGGCCCCUCCCACGCUGAGAGAGGUCAGCGUGAGCCCUUGCCUCACACCGGCCCCUCCCACGCUGAGAGAGGUCAGAGUGAGCCCCAUGCCUCACACCGGCCCCUCCCACGCUGAGAGAGGUCAGCGUGAGCCCCUUGCCUCACACCGGCCCCUCCCACGCUGAGAGAGGUCAGAGUGAGCCCUUGCCUCACACCGGCCCCUCCCAUGCUGAGAGAGGUCAGAGUGAGCCCUUGCCUCACACCGGCCCCUCCCACGCUGAGAGAGGUCAGAGUGAGCCCUUGCCUCACACCGGCCCCUCCCACGCUGAGAGAGGUCAGCGUUAGCCCCUUGCCUCACACCGGCCCCUCCCACGCUGAGAGAGGUCGUGAGCCCUUGCCUCACACCGGCCCCUCCCAUGCUGAGAGAGGUCAGAGUGAGCCCCUUGCCUCACACCGGCCCCUCCCACGCUGAGAGACGUCAGCCUGAGCCCUUGCCUCACACCGGCCCCUCCCACGCUGAGAGAGGUCAGCGUGAGCCCCUUGCCUCACACCGGCCCCUCCCACGCUGAGAGAGGUCAGCGUGAGCCCUUGCCUCACACCGGCCCCUCCCACGCUGAGAGAAGUCAGAGUGAGCCCCAUGCCUCACACCGGCCCCUCCCACGCUGAGAGAGGUCAGCGUGAGCCCUUGCCUCACACCGGCCCCUCCCACGCUGAGAGAGGUCAGCGUGAGCCCUUGCCUCACACCGGCCCCUCCCACGCUGAGAGAGGUCAGCGUGAGCCCCUUGCCUCACACCGGCCCCUCCCACGCUGAGAGAGGUCAGCGUGAGCCCUUGCCUCACACCGGCCCCUCCCACGCUGAGAGAGGUCAGCGUGAGCCCUUGCCUCACACCGGCCCCUCCCACGCUGAGAGAGGUCAGAGUGAGCCCCAUGCCUCACACCGGCCCCUCCCAUGCUGAGAGAGGUCAGAGCGAGCCCCAUGCCUCACACCGCCCCCUCCCACGGUGAGAGAGGUCAGCGUGAGCCCUUGCCUCACACCGGCCCCUCCCACGCUGAGAGAGGUCAGAGUGAGCCCCAUGCCUCACACCAGCCCCUCCCACGCUGAGAGAGGUCAGAGUGAGCCCCAUGCCUCACACCAGCCCCUCCCACGCUGAGAGAGGUCAGCGUGAGCCCUUGCCUCACACCGGCCCCUCCCACAGUGAGAGAGGUCAGAGUGAGCCCCAUGCCUCACACCGGCCCCUCCCACGCUGAGAGAGGUCAGAGUGAGCCCCAUGCCUCACACCGCCCCCUCCCACAGUGAGAGAGGUCAGCGUGAGCCCUUGCCUCACACCGGCCCCUCCCACGCUGAGAGAGGUCAGAGUGAGCCCCAUGCCUCACACCGGCCCCUCCCACGCUGAGAGAGGUCAGCGU